GAGGGUGUAGCUCAGUAAUAGAGCGCGUGCUUAGCAUGCACGAGGCUCUGGGUUCACUCCCCAGUACCUCCC
rnacentral:tRNA from 1 species